ensembl:lncRNA
GGGGGGGAGGGGAGGGGGUUCUGAUAACCGUGAGUAGCCUAACCCACAUAGAUGGAAAUCAGACUUGAGGCAAUUCUUUCCUUUAGCUGAUGGAACAUGAUAUAUACAGCUUGGAGCUAGGUUCCUCCACAGCACAGCUAUUUGUAUGCAUUCACUUUAUCACAUUUUUAGGAAUUUUGAUAGCAUCUGAUAGGUUUAGAUUCUGAGAGGCAUUUCCUUUGAGCCACCAGCAUCUUCAUGGCAGCUGGAGCACUGGCUAUAAUGAUCUGUUCCAGCCUCCUUAUCUUCAGUAGCCUUCCAUAUCUCCAAUCUGCCUGUGUCUCUGCAUACUGAGAAAUGAUUGUGGUUGUCAGUCAUAUGUGCCUUACUCUCAUCCUCCCCAGCUGUGGGUUCCAUCACUGAGAUCAGACUUGGUAGACCAUAUCCAGGGAUUUGAUUGUAUUGACUUGAAGUGAAUAUUGCGUUUGCCUUCAGAAAUCUCUUUCUUUCCCUCCAUCUUCCUUUGUGCAGGUCCUUUAUCUCUCAGAGCCUGUUUUCUGGCCAGCUGCAGCCUGAUGUUUACUCAGCUGGGGUGAAUAACUUUCCUUUCUGUGUGUCUGAUGUGCUGCGUGUUGUCAAUACAUGGGCCAAUGGAGAUGUCCUCCCUGCUCCAUCCAUAUCAGCUUCUGACCUGACUUAUCUGUUGGCAGACCAGCAGCACUGAAGUCAGUGUGAAUGCAGGCAUCCAUAGAAACGUGUUCUCAUACAGCAGAGGGACUGAGCUGUCAUUGCCUUGAGAGCACCUGGUGAGGUUUGGUCAGCUUUCCAAGAUGAUAACAUGGAGCCUGAAGACCAAGUGCUGAAGACAGAAGGAACUGCAUCCUUGCUUUGUGAGGCAUAGGGAUUCCAAAGGCCAUGAUUAGAUAGCCUUAAUUUGACCUAAGCUUACUGCUUCUUGUCUUUUUAUUUAUUUGCCAGAAGUAAAAGACAGUGGACUUUUCUGUAUCAUGAAGCUGAAGACUGAAUGCAGUUGAACACCAAAGGAAGCAAUGGGAAAUAUUUAUCAUACUUGGGAAGAGGGAUCCAUUUUUGCCAUAUGAAAGCAUACAACAAAAGGUUCUGGCAGCUGGAAACUAGGAGAGAGAGCUGGGAUGGGACUUGCUUGCAUCCCACCGAUGAAGAUGAGCACCCAGUCCUCAGGUCCCUGUGUUUCCCAGCCAUCCCACUCCCUGACAGAUGUCUGUCCUAGGAUGCUGGCUCCCACUCCUAUAUUUGAGAGGUGACAGAUGACUUGCUUCUCCUCCUUUUGCAAGCCUGGGCUGGGCUGAUCUGAUUGCCCUUUUCAGCUGUAGAAAGAUCCAUGUGGACAGGAAGACAUCAGAGAUAUCUAAGACUUCAAGGGCAUGAGAUAAAUGCAAAUGCAUCACUAAUGACUGCUUUAAAAGAAGGUAAAGUAGACCAUAUUGAUUAACGUUAGGCAGUUGCACUGCUGAAUUCUCCUGCUUCCUUCUGAAGCAUUCUGACUUUCUCAGCUAUGCUGUCUGUAAUCCCUUGCUCUGGGAGGGAGCGUGGUGCCCUGACCACACACACACACACUUUGGGCUGCCCCCCCGUUGAGCUGCCGGCACUGCUGAGCCCACUGAGCACUCUGAGCACCUGGGGUCAGUGACACCCAGCUGUCCAAACAGACCCCACAUGCGAGGGCGUGCGUUGGGACCGGCGGGGGAAACCCCACCAGAACCAGACAGCUCUUUGUCUUCAGAGGCAGUGUGGUGGCUCUGGGGCUGCCCUUCUCCUUUGAUCUGAGCCUUCCUCUGCUACUUCACGUCACCCCUGCUUGUUUUCUUCUUUUUGUUUUUCCCUGAUCCUAGGUGGUUCUGAUCUCUGUUCAAGAGUUGAUCUCCACCUUAGCAAUGCUACCUUGGGCUUUGAAAGGAAUCUGACAACAUGUCCUCCCUCUGUAAGUAACUUAGCUUCCAUCAAAGUGGUGCCCUGUUCCCCAUCCAAACACUUCACCUCUGUGCUGGGUGACUUCAGCCCAUCCCAGAAGACCUAGCUGGGAGGCAGCAGGAAAACACCACUUCUCUUGCAUUUUGCACAUUUUCAUCAAUAUCGUCUCACAUUUUACUUUGCCCUAUGGAAACAUCACAAAAGUCACUUCUUACUCUGAAUAUCCCUUUACUUCAGUUGGUACUUCAAUGGGUACUUCACUUUCCCAUCUCUAAGGUAGCUCCCUCAAAAAAUAAAAUGGGAUCCAGCCAUUCUUUCUUGCAUUAGUCAGACGUUCUGGAACAGGAAAAACACACACAUUUAUUCAUCCCCUCUAAAUACAUUUGUUUUUAGUUUAGAUCUAUUCAAAACGAGACCCAGUGUGGACAUCUGUCUUAUUAUCCAACAGUAGGUUAAAAAAAAUAAACUCUGCUGGCUCCGUGGGAGGAAUGCAGAUAAAUGACAGAUGGAGGCAAGCAGUGGACUUCCAGAAGCUUUCAUCCAUGAACCAGCUAAUGGGGCUCAGUGCACAGAACAUCCACCCCAUGCUUUUGCAUCUUCCGGAGCAAUGAAGGAAUUGGACAGCACUGUAUCUGCAGUGUAGCCGUCACUGAGGUUUGCACUGCAGACAUGCUCAGGCACAGUAUGUGAGAGACAGAGGUCAACUAAUAUACCGAGGAAAGAGCGUUGCCCAUAACCCAGGAGGAUUGGACUUGACGGAUGUUUCUGUGUCAGAUUCUGGAUGGUACCAAUGGGCCUUAAUUCCCCCAAGUAGCCACAUCUGGAAUCCCCAACUCAUAAACCCUCUUCCCUUGGGCUCAGGGUCUCCAUUUUACCUCACAACAGAGCUACAUGCUCUUGUCUUUGCCUCCUGGGUGGACCUCAGGCUUAUUUACGGACUUACCUGCAGCCGUGUCCUUCAUCAUCUCCUGUUGUCAGCCCCUUGUCUGUGUCGUGACCCUAGGCCUUCCCAUACCUUGCAAUCAGUGUGAAACUGAUAUAAAACCUGAAAUCUCUCUUCUUUGGAUAUGACAGAAUGGCCAUGUUUGUCUGGGAGGCUGGCAACAUUCCUUGCGAUGGCCAAAAUUGUUGACUUCUGCAAAGCAUCUCUAGGUGCUUGCUGAAAUGUAGUGAAUGGUCAAGUCCAUUCUUGUUCAUUUCCUUAGUUGAAUGCAUGAUCACAACUUGCUAACACAAGUCCUACAGAUCUUGGUACAGAUUUCUCUGAGCUCUGUGCUCAUGUAGUGCCACAAACAAGGCUGCGGGAACAGUGAGGCUCUGUGCAUGGGAUGGAUUUGGAGGGUGGAGAAUACAGCUUUAGGUAUGGCUGGUAGCUGGGUGUGGAUGUGUCGGUGCAGCUGAGUGCUUUCUUAUCCUCCUCGACUUUUCUAUAUUUCCCUCUUCUUUCAUCUGGCAUUUAUGUCUGCUACAUAUGUUCCCCUUUAUACCAUGCCAGAGCUAUGACACAAGAAAAGGGCAGGGAAGGGGUGGGGGAGGGAAAAAUCUCAAAAUGGGAUUUUAUCAAAAUAUUAUCGGAGCACCAGCUGGUGUAGAUUAGCAUAGCACUCUGAGUGAGAGAGCUAUUUUACCUUGUGCUAUUUUUCUCUGGGCUGCACAUGGCCUUUUCUCAAAGUGUGAAGGUUGUGGCCAGCAGGAUUAAUCUGCUCUUCCCAUCCCCGUUUCUGAAGCCCUGCAGUAUCUCAGCCCAUUCAAAAAUUUGACUGAUCCGGGCUGAGAUGGAAACCAGGUAUCAGUAAGUCACCCAUCCACAGAGGCUGGUUGAAUCUUGCUGGAAAAUGAGAGACGAAGGGUCACAAGAAUGAAAAAUGUGUUGUGCAGACGCUCAUUAGUUAGACAGCUUUGCUGGUGUGCCUGUGCCCCAAGGGUCGGCUUGCAAAGGCAGCAGUGCUGGGCUGGGUCUGACACUCAAAGCACUCGAGGGGUCUGGACACAACUGCUCUGCCCCUUUGCAGGAGAUGGCUUUGUGUCCUGGCUUCCAGCCCAGUGCCAGGCCCUCACGGAGUGGGGAAAGUAUUGCUCAUCCAUCACUGUGUAUUUUUAGGGAUUUUAUUCCUGACUGUAAAGUGGAACCAGCUUUUAGAAGCGGAGGAUAAAGAUUUGGCUGGGAACAUCUGAGCUGGAGGACCAAUAACUUGGGAGCUGCUCGGAAGUGUUUGAUCUGUCUCAGGCCCGCAAGUGCUGAGCAAACGCCUGCCUUGAAGUGGAAGUUAUUUUAUGCAUCCACUGGAGUCCUCUAAAGCCAUUUCCUCUGGGACCUCUGGGGACACUCUGGGCAUCUAUUUUCUCAGCAAUACCAAUGUGUGAGUGCAAAGGGAAGGAGGAUGUGCUGCGUGACAAAUGUCAGGGUGGGCGUGGGGCUGUGUCUCCAAACAGCCUUGUAGGAGUGCUACAAUUGCCUCCUGUCCAUCUGCAGAUGCCUCGAUCUAUAGAUGCCUUGAAUACCUUGUGCAUCCCUCCUCCUUGUUCCAGCACCUCUCUGUUCAACUUGUAGCUGCUUCUAGGAAGCUUUCAUCUCUUCUUUGGAGCAGAACUGUAUACUCAGCUCCUUUUGGUCUUUCUGGGGAUCCCACCCCUAUAUUUAAGCAUAUAAAAUCCUGAAAAGUGAAGGCACAAAGGCUGUUCUCAAGGAGUGCUGCCAUCUCCCAGGCAGUAAGCCUGGCGCUGGAGGCUGGAGAGGCAGUGAGCAAGUUUCCAUCAAGAGGGGGUCCCUUGGCAAUGGGAAAGGUGAUGUUCCCACCUGCCAAGUGAUGCCUUUUUGCUCUCGCAUUCGUCUGAGCCAAUUAUUUUGUUUGCCCUGGAAGUCCCUUUGCAAAGGCUGAAGGAAAGCAAAACCACCUCUCCCAGCACCAGCUAAGUGCUAAAGCAGAACCUGCAAGGUGCAGUGCUGGGACGUGUAAGUGGGAGAAGGCCUGGCAGGAGGUUUCAUUCUCCAGUUCUGCCCGGAGGCUUUUCCCUUUGGAGCCCACUGAGGGCCAGCAGGGAAAUGAUUCCAAUUCCAGGCUUUCCAGCUUCCACGCUAAUUUAACCUGAACCAUUUCCUACUCUCCAAGCGGGAAGCAGGGAUGAGGUUAGCAGAUUCAGAUUGGGGGUGGACUGAAAAUGAUAUCAGCAGUUUUAUGGCCAUUUCUUUUCUUGGCAGGACAUGAGGGAGACCGUCUCACAGCCGCUAGGACAGAAGGUGGAAGAAUGCAAACGCUGAAACAUUUUUCAGUUUGUCCUGAUUAUCUUUCCUCCUCCAGCAGUUUUAUUAGGGUUCAUAAAUUCUUCUUUAAAGCACUCAUUCCCCCAUGCAUUUUAACCCUCGGCAGCCUUGGAGGUCACUGUAACCCUGUGGGGUUGGUGGCUGUCCAGGAGAAGCCACCCUGCCCCAUCACAGCUGGCUCUGACCGAAGAGAAUGGAAAUCACUGCACAAAAAGGGCUCUGAGGCACAUGGAGCCCUUCCACUGGCUCAAGUGUAAUAUAAAUAACAACCUUAAUCAUGCAGUGAAAUUGGUGGGUGAAGAUAUGACUGAGGAAUCUGAUAUUGCUUUCAGAAGAUUUUCAGUGCAUCAGUGCUGCUCUCCCCAGCGUGGCAGGAAAGCAUGGAAAAUUCCUCCGUCACCACUGCUUGGUGCCCUCCUAUAAUGAGUAGUCGUUGAGGUAAUAGUAACCCUUUUGGCAAAAGCACUUGCUCCAUGGAAAGCCAGGAUAUAUCCAGUAAUGCAGGGGAGUGCCAUAAAGCACAGCUCAGUAGGAACCUGUUAAAGCGAUAACCUCUGCUGGCCCGGCACACUGCUUCACCAACAGUCCCCAGCUCCUGAAGGCAGUGAUGCUAAGUGAAAUAUUCAGGGGAGGUUAAGGUCGGAUAUUACAAACAGUUUCUUCUCAGAAAGAGCAGUGAGGCACUGGAAUGGGCUGCCCAGGGAGGUGGUGGGAUCGCCAUCCCUAGAGGUGUUCCAGAACCAUGGAGAUGUGGCACUGAGGGAUGUGGGCAGUGGGCAUGGUGGGGUGGGCUGGGGUUGGACUUGGGGAUCUGAGAGGUCUUUUCCAACUUGAAUGAUCAUAUGAUUAGAUAGCUGCUGUUUGUUAGGCAGUCUUAUUCUUGUGGCAGUCUUAUUCUUGUGUCCCCUUGGGAGAACAGCCCUGAAGGCUGGUGGCCUUGAACUGGCAGCUUCUGCUGUGGACAUCAUCCCCUCCUUCCCAGUUUGACCUUCUACCAAGCCCUGAAGCAGGCUGAUUUGAGAUCAAUUCUUGCAGCUAUAGCCUAGCAAUCCAUUUGGCUGCGUGGUUUUAUAGCCAGUACAAUAGGAUACAAUUAGUUUGUCAUGCACUUGGUGCAUUAUUCGCUUGCUGUUUGCUGCAAAGGAGGAGAAAGCCGAAAAAGUACAGUGGUGAGCUAUGUUGCUUUGGAACAAAAUAUUUACAUUUUCCACAUUUCCCAUAAGGCAUUAGCACUCUUCCAAAUGUGACACAGGAGAAGCAAAUGCUUAGUGGUCUGUGGAUCUAACGUUUGCUUAAGUACCAUGACAUAUGUGCAUAUGUGUGUACACACACGAGAUAUUUUAGUUCUACUAUUUAAAUUAAGGGUGGGAUACCCUUCAGCACUGCAUUUCUCAGCAUAUGUGUUCUUAUGUUCACUUAUUCUUUGUUUCUGCCAAUGCCUAAAUAAGGAAUACUAAACAGCCACAAAUAUGCAGCCAGUGGAGACGCAGGAAUUCACUGGGAGGGAGCAAAUGCUGAUCUUGAGCUGAUAGGUUUGCAAGGGAAAGAGUCACUGCAGCUGCAGGAGAGAUUUCUGUGGUGGUAUCUGUCUGUAAUGCACAUCACAGCCCCGCUUUGCCUUCAGGGCAAAGCUGAAGCUUUUAGAUGGAGAGCAAGUCGUUUCAAUGCCACAUCAGGGAUAUAUGUAUAUAUAUAUCCACAUAUAUAUACACACACAUAUAAGAAGCACCUGUUUGCACAAUGUUGAUGGUAUUCUCUGCAGCUCUGAGAUGGAACACUGGGCUUGCAAGGAUGCCCAGAUGGGCUGCGUGUGCAGGCAUAGGGGACCACACAUACAUGCCUACAUUUAUUCCCAUUAUUCCCUUGACUUAGAGCUUUAAAGUCACCUCCUCAGUCUCAUGCCAGCUACACAAUGUAAGGAUGACACAGUCAGGCCUUAAAUUUCCUACCUUUAGGAAAAUGCACAUGAAUUUGACCUCACAUUUGUUUUUCUGGUCAAAAAAUGAAAAGUCUAUGGGAAAGCAGCUUGUCCUGGAGCUCACUGCACUGGAGUAUUUCCUGUUAAAGUACAAUGAUCAGCUUGGAAAUUAAAGGGCAGAGAUGUCCCAGUUUGCUUUUCUAUGAUAUCUCUGCACUCAUAGUGAUUGAAAUUGCUUUUGUGAUUCUUAUUUUAAAGCUGGAGCAAUUUAAGCACCAAGUAUCUGCUGUAGUGGAAAUGCUGAGUCACAGCCUGAAGCAGUGAUGGAGCACCUGGUGGAAAGGCAGAGCCAACCCAGGGGAGCUCAGGUGCAUGCAAUGCACCUGAGUGAUUGGAAGGGAUCGAGCCACCCCUUCCCAGACCUCAUUUAAGGGUUGGCAGUGGAGGUGAGGGCAUCUCUUGUCUGCCGACCUGAGGCCUUCUAAAGGCAAAUAGCUCUUUUCUUUCAUUUUUGCAUCUGUGGCUGCUGCAUUUGGGCUCACUCUCAUUUGCUGCAGCCAAAGACUUUGCCACCCUACUAUUAUCAGCCCAUUAUAGCAUUAUGCCUGCUUGCCAGUUUUUUGCCUGUUCCUCGGGUUCUCUGAGAGUACAAGGAACAACAGCUUUUCAGAGUGGGUUCUGCUUUCUGUCUUUUCCCACCUUUGUCCACGCAGCAUACCUAAAUGUUUCCUCACCUCAGUCCUUACAGGGACGUUGUUGGCCAGGAGAGAUCAGUAAUGCAGAGGUUGGGCAAAUCAUACAAUCACUAUGGUUGGAAAAGGCCACUAAGAUCAUCAAGCCCAACUGUCAGCCCAACCCCACCAUGCCCGCUGACCACGUCCCUCAGUGCCGCAUCCCCACGGUUCUGGAACACCUCCAGAGACAGUGUGAUAUCACCAGUUGGACUGGAUGAUCUUAGUGGUCUUUCCCAGCCUUAAUGAUUCCAUGAUAAUAUGUUAUGUAACAAUUAUAGUAUAAUAUAAAUUGUAUUUAAUGGAGAUGCUGCUCUGGGUGUGAUUCAGCUGCAAGGGAAUCCAUCCCAUCUCUUGCAGGGUUUGUGGGGUUGGUAUGUGAUUUCCAUGCCACUGUGCGUGCACCACUAUACACAGCACAUUGCCCCAUCUUUGUUGCUGCGCUGCCCAACUCUCAGCUCAGGGAAAGGAAAGUCUGAGCUGAUAAGAAAGAUAACUGUUCUGAAGAAGGGAGGCAGAGGUUAAGGAGUGCCAUCUUUUGUGAUCCAUGAUUUGAGGUGGGAGCUUGCAGCCAGGUCCCCUCCGUGCCCAUUCUUCUGCCCUCUUCGCAUCCUCUCCUCCCAUUUUCCACCCCACCCUUGGAGAGGGGUAUGUCUGCUUACCUCCCUUUGCAGCAAGGGCAGAGGAAGAUGAGGAGCUUGGCUGGGGCAUGGAUGGAGCAGCCCAGGGUGCAGCAUCAACAGCCCCAGCCCCUACUCCCCCCCAGGCAGCAUUUGCAAAAGAUCAAAGCGUGCAGCAAAAAUAGCAAAAGGGAAGAGCUUGUGGGUUGGACAUCUGGAGGCCAGAAGCAGCUCCUGCUUUUGAGUAGGCAAGAGGUGAAGGAGGAAGGGUAAAAAUGGGUUUACGGUCUCGCUUCUUUUACUGGGAUUAAAAACUUCUUAUAAAGUUAUAUGGUUUGCUGUUAUUUGAGAAAGCAGUGUCCUAUGUCUCUGUAAGGUCCUAAUUUCAGAAGCAGGGAUGCUAAUGACACCUAUAAAAAUAGAGAGGUGGGUAUUUUCUGGCAGUCACAAUGCUGAUUUAUCUGUGGUGCAUCAUCUGACAACCUUAUUUUUAUUCCAAGGGGCACAAGGAGGCUCCUGGGAAAUGUCUGUGCUGCUAAGCUGAAUAAAGCAGGUGCUAUUUCCUUUUGCAGCUGGAUGUUUUCAACUAUAAGAACUCAGAAACAAGCCCAAACCUAAGGGGAUGGCUGGGUCACAGCCCAGUUUUUCAAAGCCUUUGCAAAGAAACUGGAGACAGGCAGACUAGAAGUCAAAGUCCAACCUCUGGACAGUGCUGCCAAGAGUGCAAUCAAAUAUUGUGCCCAUUUCCACCAAAUAAGUGUGCCAGUGUCAUUGCAAUGCAUUAACGUACAAACAGUACAUUGCAACGUUGGGUUCACUCUGCAAAUGGAGCUGAGUGAGCAAAGUGUUUCACGCCAUUAUGUGUGUCCAAAUGGGAUGAAAACCUCUGGAGGCAGCAUAGCGGGACAUUCUCUGGUGAAAACAUUUACCAUGGAAAAAUGCAAUUUGCAGGGGAUGAUUUGCAUCCAGCACGAUGAACAAUUUUGGCCACAGGAAAAAUAAGCUGAAGUGGAGGGAAGGAGGUUGGAAUGGAAACAGACAGAUUUGAUUGGUUUUCUUUUAACAAAAGAAGCCGUAAGUUAAACACUCUGUUUGUGACAAGAUGUACCAUCUUAUCCCAGGCAGGUUGGAAUUCUUUUUCUUUCCAUCUUUUUCCUUUUUGAUUUUUCCCUUCUCUGUUCAUUCUGUUGGGAAAUGUUUUGUGGAUCAUGGCAUGGGGAGGUUUGGGACUCUGUGUUCCUUUCUGAGCUUCAUCAUCGUUAUCACUUUGCCAUUGUUUGUCUUGAUGUAGGAUCAACAACUGUCUCUCUCCUUGGUCAAAUGGUGGAACUGCUUCUUUCCUCUUCCAGUUUUGCCUCCUGGUCAUUAAAGUGGGAAAUAUCUCUCAUUCAUUUGCAUUGGUUUGACCUGUGCUCCUGGUUUUCUUUCCCAGCUAGGGACAUGGUUGUUGCUCCCAGCCAAGUGCCAGGUGUAUGGCAUGUGAUGACACCAAGCCCUGCCAGGUUGCAUGUUUCAAUGCUUGUGUUGUGCCACUUUCAUUAGCGCACUGAUUAACCAUUUCCCCGUGGUCUAAUGAAUUCCACUUGCCCAUUGCUCACUGAGCAUACCCAGAAAUCACAGCAUUGGGCAAUGCUCACUGGGAUACUUAAGGAAGAGGAGGGGAAAAAAAAAUGAAUGUGCGAGUGCUGGAUUGGGCAGGAAUGGGGGAAUGAAGAAAUUCAAACAUUUUUUUUUCUUCUUUCAGUGGUGAGGGCAGACAAGGCUGAUAGCUGCCUCCGUGUGAAACUGGAGCUACAUCCAGGAAUGGUAUUUAUAUGCACGGAUGUAGCUUUCAAUCAGGAUGAUGUAAACACUGCUGCAGAAUUUUUUGACCAGGCUGUUUGGGAAACGUGAUGGAUUAAAUAUGACAAACAAGAUUCCUGGACGUUUAUUUAUCCGCCUUUUCAUUUGUGCCAGUUUCAUGUUAGGCAAGGCUCUGGCUACCAGACCGAUGCUAAGCCCUGAGGGCAGGCAAGGCUGGGGGGAGGGAGCCACAAAGAGAGUGUUUUCCAAGCCUCAUCUAAUUUAAAGCAUCUUUUGCUGAGUGGUGCAGCGAA